rnacentral:lncRNA from 1 species
CUUCCUUUUUUCUCCUUUCACUAGCUAGAAAUUCCCUAAACUAGAAAUAACUAGAAUAAUAAAUACAACAAGAUUUGUGGUAGCAGUGGUGAUGAGUAAUGACCUUCCAGGACCAACUGUUGCUGCUGCUGACUGAUCAUCUGUUUGGUGUGGAGGUUUUCUAUAGUAGUAUGGGAAAUAAGGCAAGAUAGGGUCAGGAGGGGGCUGACCAUAUAAAGAAUUACCUCCACCAUAAGGUGGUGGUGGAUAGUAAUAUGGUAAGUUCCCUGUAGGUGGAGGGUAUGCUCCUGUUUGGGAGGGUGGUGAGUAACUAGCUGGAGGUGUUUGUGUCACUGUGCCGCCGCCGCCUCCGCCGCCGGUGCCUGUUGGUGGUGGGAAACAUGGA